GGAGUUAGCCGGUGCUUCUUCUGUGAGUGAUGUCCUUCCUGCCGGCUAUUAACCCGCAGGCCUUCUUCCUCACUGAAAGUGCUUUACAACCCGAAGGCCUUCUUCACACACGCGGCAUGGCUGGAUCAGGGUUGCCCCCAUUGUCCAAUAUUCCCCACUGCUGCCUCCCGUAGGAGUCUGGGCCGUGUCUCAGUCCCAGUGUGGCUGAUCAUCCUCUCAGACCAGCUACGGAUCGUCGCCUUGGUGAGCCGUUACCUCACCAACCAGCUAAUCCGACAUAGGCUCAUCCUAUAGCGCGAGGCCCGAAGGUCCCCCGCUUUCCCCCGUAGGGCGUAUGCGGUAUUAGCCUGGGUUUCCCCAGGUUAUCCCCCACUACCGGGCAGAUUCCUAUGCAUUACUCACCCGUCCGCCGCUCGCCACCAGGGAGCAAGCUCCCCGUGCUGCCGCUCGACUUGCAUGUGUUAGGCCUGCCGCCAGCGUUCAAUCUGAGCCAGAAUCAAACUCUGA
rnacentral:rRNA from 1 species